AAAGCGUGCGCAGGCGGUUUUGUAAGACUGUCGUGAAAUCCCCGGGCUCAACCUGGGAAUGGCGAUGGUGACUGCAAGGCUAGAGUUUGGCAGAGGGGGGCAGAAUUCCACGUGUAGCAGUGAAAUGCGUAGAUAUGUGGAGGAACACCGAUGGCGAAGGCAGCCCCCUGGGUCAAAACUGACGCUCAUGCACGAAAGCGUGGGGAGCAAACAGGAUUAGAUACCCCUGU
rnacentral:rRNA from 1 species